rnacentral:rRNA from 1 species
GCCAGACUCCUACGGGAGGCAGCAGUGGGGGAUAUUGCACAAUGGGGGGAACCCUGAUGCAGCGACGCCGCGUGGGUGAAGGAGCGUUUCGGCGCGUAAAGCCCUAUCGGCAGGGAAGAAGGAGGACGGUACCUGACUAAGAAGCCCCGGCUAACUACGUGCCAGCAGCCGCGGUAAUACGUAGGGGGCAAGCGUUAUCCGGAUUUACUGGGUGUAAAGGGGGCGCAGACGGCAGCGCAAGCCAGGAGUGAAAGCCCGGGGCCCAACCCCGGGACUGCUCUUGGAACUGCGCGGCUGGAGUGCGGGAGGGGCAGGCGGAAUUCCUGGUGUAGCGGUGAAAUGCGUAGAUAUCAGGAGGAACACCGGUGGCGAAGGCGGCCUGCUGGACUGCGACUGACGUUGAGGCCCGAAAGCGUGGGGAGCAAACAGGAUUAGAUACCCCUGUACG